ACAAUGUAUAGCUAUUGUUCAUUGCAAGAAAGAUACGGACGGGUAGGUGUGAAUGUCAGCUGAAGAUUGGCAGCUACAGAAUCCCUACACAAUGCCACGAGCUUUCUCUUUUCUCUUUUCUCUCUUCUCUCUUCUCUUUUCAAGAUUCAAGAAUCCUUUUCCACCCCUUUCAGGGUUUUGCUAAGACCCCCAACACCAACGCCAUGUCUCUCACACCUUUGAUGUUUAGGUCACUGGUGAGGCUAUUGACAGCGCUAAUUGGUGAGCCUGCGAUUUCAGUCUCAACCUUACUCUAUUACAGCGAUCUUCUUCCCCAGAAUAUCGUUCUAUUGAGAUUGGUUCGGCAUGAGUUGCUGGAUGAAGAAAAUUAUCUCUUCCAUUUUCUCGUUAACUUCUUGAGAUGUUUCUGGUAGAUGAUGUGCCCAUCGCCCAGGUUUGACUCGUCUUUUUAAUUUCUCCAUCUCGUUCAGAGAUUUAUCGGAAUGAGAUAAAUAUAUAUAGGUGGUUCCUCAA